CGUAGGGUGCGAGCGUUAAUCGGAAUUACUGGGCGUAAAGCGUGCGCAGGCGGUUUAGUAAGACAGGCGUGAAAGCCCCGGGCUCAACCUGGGAACUGCGCUUGUGACUGCUAAGCUAGAGUACGGCAGAGGGGGUGGAAUUCCACGUGUAGCAGUGAAAUGCGUAGAGAUGUGGAGGAACACCAAUGGCGAAGGCAGCCCCCUGGGUCGAUACUGACGCUCAUGCACGAAAGCGUGGGUAGCAAACAGGAUUAGAUACCCUGGUAGUCCACGCCCUAAACGAUGUCAACUAGGUGUUGGGAGGGUAAAACCUUUUAGUACCGGAGCUAACGCGUGAAGUUGACCGCCUGGGGAGUACGGCCGCAAGGUUA
rnacentral:rRNA from 1 species